rnacentral:rRNA from 1 species
CGGGUGAGUAACGCGUGGGCAACCUGCCUUGUACAGGGGGAUAACAGUUAGAAAUGACUGCUAAUACCGCAUAAGACCACAGCACCACAUGGUGCAGGGGUAAAAACUGAGGUGGUACAAGAUGGGCUCGCGUCUGAUUAGCUGGUUGGUGAGGUAACGGCUCACCAAGGCGACGAUCAGUAGCCGACCUGAGAGGGUGACCGGCCACAUUGGGACUGAGACACGGCCCAA